CCCUUUUCAGUGAGAUCUUUUUGGUGCCUCAAUAAAAUUCAAAGUCAAGGUAACAACACAUACAUGUGACAAGGUAGGAUCGCUUUAAGAAGUGUCCAAGCCAUGGAAAGCUUUUGCCUUUUGCCCCCACUACCAUCAAAAUCCAAUUAAACUAGGGUAACCAACUCCUUAGUGGAAGCUCCUGUGAGAAAUCCAAAGACUUGUGUAAUUUCAGCUAAAUGAAAAUCUUCACCAAUGUCAUCAAGAUCUCGCUCUCC
rnacentral:misc_RNA from 1 species